rnacentral:rRNA from 1 species
UACGUAGGCAGCAAACGUUGUUCGGAAUUACUGGGCGUAAAGAGUGUGUAGGCGGCUUUGUAAGUUCUGUGUGAAAUCUCCCGGCUCAACUGGGAGGGUGCGCCGAAUACUGCAAGGCUUGAGUACUGGAGAGGAUAGCGGAAUUCCUGGUGUAGCGGUGAAAUGCGUAGAUAUCAGGAGGAACACCGGCGGUGUAGACGGCUAUCUGGACAGUAACUGACGCUGAGACACGAAAGCGUGGGGGAGCAAACAGG